rnacentral:misc_RNA from 1 species
GAUGAAGAACGUAGCGAAAUGCGAUAAGUAAUGUGAAUUGCAGAAUUCAGUGAAUCAUCGAAUCUUUGAACGCACAUUGCGCCCCUUGGUAUUCCGAGGGGCAUGCCUGUUCGAGCGUCAUUAUAACCCCUCAAGCUCAGCUUGGUGUUGGGGCCUGCUGCACUGGCAGCCCUUAAAAUCAGUGGCGGCGCCAUCUGGCUCUAAGCGUAGUAAUUCUUCUCGCUAUGGAGUCCUGGUGGAUGCUUGCCAUCAACCCCCAAUUUUUCUAUGGUUGACCUCGGAUCAGGUAGGGAUACCCGCUGAACUUAAGCAUAUCAAUAACGGAGGA